rnacentral:tRNA from 1 species
ACUAUUUUGACAGAAAAAAUGUGAUGAUUUUAGAAGUCAUUUAUAUAUAAAUUUAAUUAUAUAUGUAGUA